UCCCUGGUGGCUCAGACAGUAAAGUAUCUGCCUAUAAUGCAGGAGACCUGGGUUCAAUCCCUGGGUCGGGAA
rfam:TPA: Bos taurus chromosome 17, whole genome shotgun sequence.